rnacentral:rRNA from 1 species
CAGUAGCCGCGGUAAUACGUAGGUCCCGAGCGUUGUCCGGAUUUGUUGGGCGUAAAGCGAGCGCAGGCGGUUAGAUAAGUCUGAAGUUAAAGGCUGUGGCUUAACCAUAGUACGCUUUGGAAACUGUUUAACUUGAGUGCAAGAGGGGAGAGUGGAAUUCCAUGUGUAGCGGUGAAAUGCGUAGAUAUAUGGAGGAACACCGGUGGCGAAAGCGGCUCUCUGGCUUGUAACUGACGCUGAGGCUCGAAAGCGUGGGGAGCAAACAGGAUUAGAUACCCCCGUAGUCCCUGUCUCUUAUACA